UACGGAGGGUGCAAGCAUUGAUCGGAAUUAUUGGGCGUAAAGGGCGCGUAGGCGGAUGGAUAAGUCAGAUGUGAAAUACCAAAGCUCAACUUUGGUGCUGCAUUUGAAACUGUCUAUCUAGAGGAUUGACGGAGAAAGGGGAAUUCCACGAGUAGCGGUGAAAUGCGUAGAUACGUGGAGGAACACCGGUGGCGAAAGCGGCUUUCUAGUUUAGACCUGACGCUGAGGCGCGAGAGCGAGGGGAGCAAACAGG
rnacentral:rRNA from 1 species